CUCCUUACUGUGAGAAUCAGUGACAAACAUGUGGGGCUUAUAUCUAAUUCAAAUUGGUAUUAGUGCAGACGUUAAAACCAUGU
rnacentral:ribozyme from 1 species